AAGGGAGGGGGGGUGGAGAGAGUUUGCCGAUUUUAGUUUGAACAAAAAUACAUAGAGAUCCCUUGUUUCAAAAUGAAAUAGGGGUUCCUCUAUUUUGAACUUCCGAUGAGGGCUUUUGAGCCCUCUCUCUUGGCCUCUCUCUCUCCCCCCUUUCUCUCCCUUUCUGUCCCUCUGGCUCUCCCUAUGUUGGCACGUCCCAAAAUGGCACCAUACAGAUCUGUAUCGUGCCAAACCAGACGCCCAUCGAUAUACUCUCUGAUACCGGUUCAGCGAACGUUGGCAUGGACUGAUUAACUUUGCACAAUACUGUUGUUAUAAUGUGCUUACAAUGUAGACCAAAAAGGACUGUUUUCUUGGUUUUUCCUUUGUAAGUUAAGGUAUAGCCGGUAUACCUUCCCUCUUUCAUUUUCAACAGCACUGGUGACUAUGUACAAUAAAUGUGUUUUAUGAUAUAACCUUGUCUACUAGACCAUCAAGCAUUAUCCACCCAGUACGUGUGGUUGGCUUUAUGAGCUGAAUAUAAUUUUGUUGAUCAUAAAAUUCUUUUCUCUUUUCUACUCCUUCCUAGGCAUUUAUAUUGUAGUUUGUUGAUUGUUUGGCUAAAUUUUUUGCCUCUCUUUCUCGGACUGUAAAACAAGUGGAGUAGAGGUAUGUCAUGACAUCAGUUUACCAGCCGCUUUGAACAUGUAGAUUUUGGAGCGCCAAAUGCUUAUUGAUUCUUGACUUCUCUAGUAUUAUGAGCACAUUUAAAAUUUCCCAUAACUUUAUUACCUUAUGAUAAUCUAAGGCAAUUCCCAUUCAACCAACCUAACUUGGCAAUGUCUGAUAGUACUUACUUUCCUUGAUCACAAAGGAAUUGCAUGUUGGUAGAAACUGACACAGUUCACUAUGUAGUUUGAUUUAAUGGGAAAAGAUGAUGAAUUAUAGGUUUAGGAGUCUUAUAUGAAGAUUUGCUAUAUCAAUUUUUUAAACAUGCUAAAUCUUCAUGUUUUCUUCUUCUAAUUCUCCCUGAAAUUGUUCCUAUGUUUUGUAUUUUCUAGAAGUUUUGAUCCGAACCAUGUUAGUAACAAACUUUUUAUAACUUAAAGUUUGAUUUUAACUAACAUAAAUAUAAAAGUUAAUUUUCUCAUACUACCCAGGUCAGCUUAAUUCAUUAAAAAGGUGGGAAUUGUGGAUCACGAACCCAAACUUCAACCAAGUGAACUGCCAAACUAUGGACUUUCUUAUAUGUUCUUUUAUAUGUUUGAAAAAACACACUCUACUUACCUACUUGCAGCUUUAGACUAGGCCUUUGAGCUACAUAAUGCAAAUCAAUGUUUUGAAAAUAGGCCUAGCUCCACUCGACCAACUGAACCGAUGGAAUCGUCAAUUGUUCUAGUGUCUGGUCCUAAUACCCCCCAAAACCCGAAUUGCCACAAAAACCAACGUAUUCUGUUUGUUUUAGACCUUGGUUGAACUGGCAGCUCAUUCAAAUUAGACCUUGGUUGAAUGUACCUGUCGGUUUUCAAAUUGAAUAAAAUUGUGUUGGAUUGGGGAAUUAGGGUUCGAUUAUUGACUUUAUUUUUGACUCCUCUUCAACUCUUCCCUCUUCGAAUGAGGCUCUCUCCAGCACCAGUAUGAAUUGUAGAGGACGGCGGUAAGCAAAAAGAACCCUACUCCGGUAAGCACCCAUGGUGAACUCUUGAAGGCUUGAACCCGCUCUUUUCCUCUUUUCUCCCUCUCUCUCUUCCCGUACCUCUCUCCCUUGCCGCAUCGUUGAGGGCGAUCGGCGGUAGGCAGCAAGAACCGCUCCCCUGCAUUCUCUCUCUCUUUCACCUUGCCACUGAAGCUUGGUGGCAGGCAAAGGAUAGCAGCGAGCACACCCUACCCUGCUCUCUUUCUCUCUCUCUCUGCUUUUCUCGCCCUUGACAGACUUGUGGUAGGCCGAUGGCACCAACAAGCAGGCCCUCCCCACCUCUGCUCUCUCCCUCUCUCCUCCUCACACUUCACCAUGUUAGCCAAACCUUGGUGGCAAGCUGGCAAGCAGCAACAGCAGGCCCUUCCCUCCUUUGCUCUCUCUCUUUCCCCCUUCUCUCGCCCCUCCUUCCCCACCCACCACCCACCACUUUGUUCUCAGCCCUCAGUCCCUCACAAUCAGGCUAGUAGCAGCCUGGUAACUGCAUCGAUGCAGUCCGGUGUCCCUCCCCCCUCAGAGUUUCUAAAAUCAGAAUGAGAGUCAUCCUCACACUCUCAACCCCUUGCUCUCUCUGGACUCCCUGCCAACGAUGGCAGUGGUGUCUCUCAUGAGUGGCCUCCUCUCCUUGCUCAUUGCCUUCCCUCGUCAAACUCCAAAAGCCUUCAAAGUUUGUCUUCCCUCCCCUUCCUGCUCAUCUUUUGUUUGAUUUAUUGCCACUGAGAUUAAUUUUAACUAAGUAAUGAUGGGGAGGGAAAGCCAUGGGACUGUGGUUUCAUUGCAUUUCACUGAACAUUAUUGUUGACUAAAAAAGUCUAGUUUUACUCUAUGGGAGAUGUAGAAGAAGAGGAAUUUUAAUACUUUUAGAGAUUUUCUAAAACAUAAACUGACAGAUUCUAAUGUUGUGUAACACAAAUUUUAUGUAAACUGGAAGGCUUGCCUUUUCAUAGAACUUAUUUUUCAGGUUCCAUAAACUGUCAAUUUUUUUAAAAUGUUUUGGAAACAACUUAACAAAUGUUUCAACAAAGCAUAUGUAUAUAUCAUUGCAUGUUUUAUAUUUUUACAAUUUUUUGUGCAUAUUUAUGAUCUUAAUCUAUUUCUAUAUAUAAUAAUUAAUAAUUGAUAUUUUUAUUACAUCAUCAUGAUGUCAUGGAUUGACCUGGGUUAUUCUAAUGGUUGAACCAGUGAUCUUGAUCAGGUCUCUUUUCCAGUUCGAUGAACAGUCUGGUUUUGAAAACAUUAAUGGAAUGGGUGAAAUCAUCAUUAUUAUUGUUGGAUUGCCAGUGCUUGUAUUGUGCUUUUGGAUGUCCAAGCAACCUUGCCUGCCCUCCUUUUUUGAUAGAUGCUGGAGCUUUAAUGGGACCAUUUUUUGAUAGAUGCACUAGCUGCAAAGGUUGUGCGUCCAACAAAAGGAGUGCAUUUACGAUCAUUCUGAAAUCUAUGGUAAAUCUUGUAAUGCUAUACUUCAAUUCCCAUUCUCAGACUAGGUAUGAUCUUGCAGUAUUUUAGUGUUAAUAUCCAGUUCUAUAUCUAGAAAUGCACUUCAUGCAAUUGGAUAUUUUGUUCUUAUGUGUUUAUAAAGAUUAUGAUGGAUAACUCGUUUAUCUUGGCAUGGGCUUUUAGGUACAUAAUUUACAUGAUGAGACCACCAUCAGGAGAAUAAUUUCUAAUUAGUGUAUAAGGUUUAGUUUCAAAAUUGAUAUUCUCUUGUGUAAUGUUGACAUCUGGUAUGGGUCACACUUGGACAUCAGAAAAACUUGGCAAGGGCCACUUCCAUACAUUUCAAUAUUCUAGUCCAAGUUGGGUAUCUAGUUGUGCUGCCCAAGGAAGACAUUAAUGAAUGUCUAUAUUUUUUAGCCAUCACUUCAAAUCCUGUAAUAUUAUGUCUUGAUGUUCAUAGCAAUAGAUUUUUGUUUGCCAAUAUCAGUAUCGGUUGAACGCUUUAUUUGCUUAUACAUAUUUUUGCAUAUGUUACCAAGAGAAAAUAAUGCCUUCGUCGAGUCUAAAAAUUAUUGGUCCUGAAUUAACAGCUUUGAUGCCUAGCAGGAAGCUAUUAUAUCAGUUGCAAAAGACUGUUCAUCAACACUGAAGGGAAAAAAAAAAUCUACGUCUGGCUAUGAACAUCUGCAUAAAAAGUUUGUAUUGUUUACACAGGCUCCCAAUAUCUAAUGGGUUUUAUGUCAUAUCAGCGGUGUAAAUUGUUGAGUUGGUAAUUUGGUCCCAACUUGCCAUAAUCAGCUGCGCUUCUUGCUUAUUCUAUGCAGAGAAUUUCUGAACUCUUUCAAGAAUAUCAGUUUAUAUUUCGCCAUAUAUUGUUCAUAUUAUCUCUGUAUAAAAAACUCUUACUUAUUAGAUUAUGUUUACCUCUCAGAAAAACGAACUAGUUAUUUCCUUCUUAAAAUUUCUGUUUCCUUUUAUCUUAUUAGAUUUUUGGUUGUUGGAUAGGCAUCUAAAGGUAAAAAGGCUUAUGGGGUUGAAUGUUCAACUUUUGUUCUGAUUAUGCAACCUGACUAAUACAUUCCAAUAGCGGAUUCUUCUGAUAGACUCUAGAGCGAUUUUUGUCCGUGGUGUCAUGGACACAGUUUGUAAUUUGUUUUAUUUAAUUGCACUACCAAUUUGUGACCUAUAAGUAGCCUCGUGAAUUAUGAAAAUAUCAAAGCUGCUUGAGAGCCCCACCUAACCAAUGGCCUUCCCGAGGUGCUGUGCGUGUUCCAGUAGGGGGGUUUAUUUGGUAGACUCGAUAGCUUUCUUAUAUAUGUCAUAGAGAUGACUUGCUAAUGUUUUAUUUGAUUGAAUAAUUAACGUCUGACCUAUGAGAGUUCCCCUUACCAAAUGAAUUUUCAGAGGUCUUCUCUCUCUCUCUCUGAGUGCACGCACGCGCAUGUGUGACAAAUAUUCACACCUUUUACACUGAACUCAGAACUGUAUGCAGUGUUUAUUAGAAGUUCUGAAUUAUACAGUUUCAAAUUUUGAGCGGCAACAUGUUCUGAUUGUUCUCCUAGUUCAGACUGUACCUGUACUUACAGUUUUGUGCCUAUUAUUUCUAAAAUAGCUUUUGUAUUAUUUUAUGAAAUUAAGUUUCAAAUCUUUGCUGCAAGCACUCAGGACAGUCUGAUCAUUCACAGGUUUCCUAUGCUGAGGUUGAUGACAACUAUUGCAGUUUCUGAAUGUGGACACAAAGAUUUGUUUGACAUGCAAAGUUUGAACGACAUCAAUGAAAUCUUUAGGAGGAAUCAAUGAAACAACAUCAAUUCAAAUCCUGGAUCUUCGAAUUGAGAGAGAUAUUGAGAGAGAUUAAGAAUUCUCAUCAUUUCUUAGAUUCAUGGAUCAAAUUUGAUUCAGUGGGAUCUUUCCCUUACAUUUUUCCCUACCAAGAACGUUUUAUGAAACUCUUUGACCUCCGAAUUUGGAGUAUCUUACUUUCACGUGAUUCACAGGGUUCAACAAGCAAUUGAUAUUUCACGAUUAAAGGUGUAGUAUUGCUUGCAGUAGCGGUCUUUAUAUCUCGUAUUAACAAUCGAAAGAUGGUCGAAAGAAAAAAUCUGAAUUAGAUCGGGCUACUUUGAAAUCCGAUGGUGUUUUUCGUAGCAGUUUAAGGGGUUGGUUCAUUUUUGGGCAUGCUACGUUUGCUUUGCUCUUCUUUUUUGGACACAUUUGGCAUGGUGCUAGAACCUUGUUUAGAGAUGUUUUUGCUGGUAUUGAUCCAAAUUUGGAUGCUCAAGUGGAGUUUGGAACAUUUCAAAAACUUGGGGAUCCAACUACAAGGAGACAGAUAGUUUGAUACAACAUUGCUCUAGUAUCUUUCGCCUCUAUUUUUUUUGAUUUGACAUAAGGUACCGGAGAAAUCUUAACAUAAGGUACCAGUUGAUCCGAGGCACUCUCUUUUCCAUUCACGAAUGCAGUUUCUGAAUGUGGACACAAAGAUUUGUUUGACAUACAAAGUUUGAACUUUGUAGAAAAUUUCACUGGUUCAUUUUAGGAUCUGUUUUUAAUUGAAUUGGUCAACUUAAUUACUAACUUGCAAUUUACAGUGCUGGUUUUAUAGUGAUGAGAUUCUUAAUUUUCCGGAAGAAGACGCCUCAUCAUCCGAAACUAUGUGAUCGCGACUUUAAUACCUUUCAGAUUGUGGGUUCACCGACAUAUUCACGGUUAUGAUUCUGGCCUCAUAAGUGCAACCAGACAUGCCUAAGAGAAGGCUUUGUUAGUGACAUUGGUGAAGCUACACCAUGUCGAGUUCGUUGUGGUUCCCUAACCUGCUAACAGGUUUUGUCAAACAGCGGGUAAAUGAAGCCUGAUCUUAGAAUUCAUGCUGGAGAACAGUUUGAAGCCAAGCUGGAGCAAGAACACCUAGGUUCCACGACAAGGGGGAGAGGGAGGAUAAGGGAGAGAAGGUGUACUUGAGUGUAGAUUGGGUGAGGAGGGAGACAUGGGUGUGUCUGUUAAAAUCUAGAAGCAUAUCUGAUUACGGCAAAUCCAGUGAUGGAUGAUCUCAGAUGAAGGUUGACAUUGGUGAAGAUGAUCUCAGAUCUCGCUCUCUGAGAAUUAAGACUAGUCAGAGCUGCUCCAAAAUUGCUUGUUUUCUUCAUUUGGUGCGAAAAGGCAUCGAUUCAUAUGCCAUUUACACCAAUUGGCACGCGCACAACUUUGCAACUGGUCAGAAUCCACAGACGAUUUUAACCCAGAGCGGGCAUCGCAUGAAACUUCUUUUCAGCGUUAUAGCCCGAGUUGUUUGUUGUGAUAGCAGUAUUCUUGGUCCGUGUCCCAUGUUCCAAUGGAGAAAAACACCAGGGGAAUCUAUUCGGAGGCCGCCACCUUUAUAGCAUGCGGAAGCCAUGAAGCUAAAGCUUGCCCCGCAUCGGAGGCUUUUUAAACAGCCUUCACCAGCAUCGGAUGCUUGCUUGAUUCUUCAGCUGAGGGUACAAAUAUGGGAAAAGUUUAGCUGUUGAUUAGACCACAUAUCUAAGACAUCAACUAACUCAAACCCAUGGUUUUCUUUUUCCUUAAAGAAAUGUAUACAUCUCAUUGUAUCAACUAUUUACUCCAAAUUAAUUGUAAUACAUCGGGUCAGGAGUUCCUAACUUUUUCACUCCAAAAAAAAUAAAACCGUAUCUAUGUUGCAUCAAAAUCAGGCUCGUCUGCUAAGAUUAUGCCAGCACCCAAAUCCAUGGAUUCCUGUUUUUUCUAAUCAAGUAUAAAGCUGUGACCCGGCAAAGAGUUGGUGAGGAGAUUGAAGCUUUAAACUGUCACCAGCUCGAGGAACAGGCUAAGCAAUCAGAGAUGCAUCUUGAGGACCGGAUUUUGGUAAUGCGGAAUUGUGUCCGGAUAGUCUCAAGCAAGGCCAAGACAAAGCUCCAACUCUAAAACCCCUCCAAAA